rnacentral:lncRNA from 1 species
CUUUCAUAAAAUAAUAUUACACGUAAAUCAAAAUAUUUUUCUUUUUUUCUACCACUCAUUUUUCAAAAAAAAAAAUACUAUUUUACCUAUUUUCAUUUCAAAAAAAUAGGGGCCAAACGGGGCUUCGAGGCUACCCUCUCGUGUCUCUCGAUGCCAGACUCUUGCACCUCCUCCCUUGCUCUCUAUCGUAUGUUUUCUAUGUGAUUUUGUGUCUCCUGCUUGAGCUUCUCCUUUUGAUGUUACUGGUGUGUGUCUCCAACGUCUAGAUUGUGGUUGGAGCCCUUCGCUUCUUCCUUUGUUGUCACUAUCUUUGUUGAUUCCUCGCGGCUCCUGUGCUGCCCGGUUCUGCUACUCAACUUUAUGGCUAUUUGGGUACUUCGUGUAAGGAUUCUUUGUAUCUACUUGAUGGUGGUGUUACCUUAUUACAUUCGGUUGCUUUAUCUAAGCCCUGAUUGAUAGACUAACAUCAAACAUUCAAUCAAAAAUGGAGUUUUUAGGUUUCUUGUAAUUCUUGUUAUUAAUAUUUGAUUUCCUUAUUAUAUUGAUAAUAAACUUGGUUUAUCAAUCAUAUGUGCUAGGGAUAGUAUAAUUUACUAAAAAUUGGUAUCGAAGUGUAGAUCUUUGCAUUUGGCCGUUGAUUUUGUGUCUUGACUUAGUCCUAUGGCUGAAAAAUUGAAAUUGAACUUGAUUUGCUAUGAUUUUUUGGAGUGCGAGG